rnacentral:rRNA from 1 species
GAUGAACGCUGGCGGCGUGCCUAAUACAUGCAAGUCGAGCGAACAGACGAGGAGCUUGCUCCUCUGACGUUAGCGGCGGACGGGUGAGUAACACGUGGAUAACCUACCUAUAAGACUGGGAUAACUUCGGGAAACCGGAGCUAAUACCGGAUAAUAUAUUGAACCGCAUGGUUCAAUAGUGAAAGACGGUUUUGCUGUCACUUAUAGAUGGAUCCGCGCCGCAUUAGCUAGUUGGUAAGGUAACGGCUUACCAAGGCAACGAUGCGUAGCCGACCUGAGAGGGUGAUCGGCCACACUGGAACUGAGACACGGUCCAGACUCCUACGUGAGGCAGCAGUAGGGAAUCUUCCGCAAUGGGCGAAAGCCUGACGGAGCAACGCCGCGUGAGUGAUGAAGGUCUUCGGAUCGUAAAACGCUGUUAUUAGGGAAGAACAAAUGUGUAAGUAACUAUGCACGUCUUGACGGUACCUAAUCAGAAAGCCACGGCUAACUACGUG